rnacentral:rRNA from 1 species
GACGAACGCUGGCGGCGUGCCUAAUACAUGCAAGUCGAACGCAGUGGGGACGGGUGAGUAACACGUGGGUAACCUCCCAUCAGAGGGGAUAACACUUGGAAACAGGUGCUAAACCGAUACUGAUGGAUGGACCCGCGGUGCAUUAGCUAUUUGGUGAGGUACCGGCUCACCAAGGCCACGAUGCAUAGCCUGCCUGAGAGGGGUAGUGGCCAGACUGGGACUGAGACAGGGCCCAGAGGCCUACGGGCGGAAGCAGUAGGGAAUCUUCGGCAAUGGACGAAAGUCGGACCGAGCAACGCCGCGUGAGGGAAGAAGUUUUUCGGAUCGUAAAACUCUGUUGUUAGAGAAGCGGUAUCUAACCAGAAAGCCACGGCUAACUACGUGCCAGCAGCCGCGGUAAUUC